UGUUGACCCUCGGAUCAGGUAGGAAUACCCGCUGAACUUAAGCAUAUCAA
rnacentral:rRNA from 1 species